rnacentral:rRNA from 1 species
AUGAACGCUGGCGGCGUGCUUAACACAUGCAAGUCGAACGAAGCAUCUUAUUCUGAUUUCUUCGGAAUGAAAAAUUUGGUGACUGAGUGGCGGACGGGUGAGUAACGCGUGGGUAACCUGCCUCAUACAGGGGGAUAACAGUUAGAAAUGACUGCUAAUACCGCAUAAGACCACAGCACCGCAUGGUGCAGGGGUAAAAACUCCGGUGGUAUGAGAUGGACCCGCGUCUGAUUAGGUAGUUGGUGGGGUAACGGCCUACCAAGCCGACGAUCAGUAGCCGACCUGAGAGGGUGACCGGCCACAUUGGGACUGAGACACGGCCCAAACUCCUACGGGAGGCAGCAGUGGGGAAUAUUGCACAAUGGGGGAAACCCUGAUGCAGCGACGCCGCGUGAGCGAUGAAGUAUUUCGGUAUGUAAAGCUCUAUCAGCAGGGAAGAAAAUGACGGUACCUGACUAAGAAGCACCGGCUAAAUACGUGCCAGCAGCCGCGGUAAUACGUAUGGUGCAAGCGUUAUCCGGAUUUACUGGGUGUAAAGGGAGCGUAGACGGAGUGGCAAGUCUGAUGUGAAAACCCGGGGCUCAACCCCGGGACUGCAUUGGAAACUGUCAAUCUGGAGUACCGGAGAGGUAAGCGGAAUUCCUAGUGUAGCGGUGAAAUGCGUAGAUAUUAGGAGGAACACCAGUGGCGAAGGCGGCUUACUGGACGGUAACUGACGUUGAGGCUCGAAAGCGUGGGGAGCAAACAGGAUUAGAUACCCUGGUAGUCCACGCCGUAAACGAUGACUACUAGGUGUCGGGCAGCAAAGCUGUUCGGUGCCGCAGCAAACGCAAUAAGUAGUCCACCUGGGGAGUACGUUCGCAAGAAUGAAACUCAAAGGAAUUGACGGGGGCCCGCACAAGCAGUGGAGUAUGUGGUUUAAUUCGAAGCAACGCGAAGAACCUUACCAGGGCUUGACAUCUAACAAAUCUCUAUGAAAGUAGAGAGUGCUCUUCGGAGAAUGUUAAGACAGGUGGUGCACGGUUGUCGUCAGCUCGUGUCGUGAGAUGUUGGGUUAAGUCCCGCAACGAGCGCAACCCCUGUUCUUAGUUGCCAGCAUGUAAAGAUGGGAACUCUAAGAAGACUGCCGUAGACAAUACGGAGGAAGGUGGGGAUGACGUCAAAUCAUCAUGCCCUUUAUGACUUGGGCUACACACGUACUACAAUGGCGUUAAACAAAGAGAAGCAAGACCGCGAGGUGGAGCAAAACUCAGAAACAACGUCCCAGUUCGGACUGCAGGCUGCAACUCGCCUGCACGAAGUCGGAAUUGCUAGUAAUCGUGGAUCAGCAUGCCACGGUGAAUACGUUCCCGGGCCUUGUACACACCGCCCGUCACACCAUGAGAGUCGAUAACACCCGAAGCCUGUGAGCUAACCUAUUAGGAGGCAGCAGUCGAAGGUGGGGUUGAUGAUUGGGGUG